rnacentral:rRNA from 1 species
GACGUAGGGGACGAGCGUUGUCCGGAUUCAUUGGGCGUAAAGCGCGUGUAGGCGGGACGGCAAGUCUGGCGUGAAAGGCUUCGGCUCAACCGGAGAAGGCCGCUGGAAACUGUCGUUCUUGAGGGUCGAAGAGGAGUGUGGAAUUCCUGGUGUAGCGGUGAAAUGCGUAGAUAUCUGGAGGAACACCGGUGGCGAAGGCGGCAUCCUGGACCAACACUGACACUGAGGAGCGAAAGCCAGGGGAGCAAACGGG